rnacentral:rRNA from 1 species
CGUGUAGGCUGCUUCGCAAGUCGGAUGUGAAAGCCCUGGGCUCAACCCAGGAAGUGCAUUCGAAACUGCAAAGCUGGAGUCCUGGAGAGGAAGGCGGAAUUCUCGGUGUAGAGGUGAAAUUCGUAGAUAUCGAGAGGAACACCGGUGGCGAAGGCGGCCUUCUGGACAGUGACUGACGCUGAGACGCGAAAGCGUGGGAGCAAACA